UACGUAGGGUGCAAGCGUUAAUCGGAAUUACUGGGCGUAAAGCGUGCGCAGGCGGCUAUGCAAGACAGAUGUGAAAUCCCCGGGCUCAACCCGGGAACUGCGUCCGAUACUGGCAGGCUUGAAUCCGGGAGAGGGAUGCGGAAUUCCAGGUGUAGCGGUGAAAUGCGUAGAUAUCUGGAGGAACACCGGUGGCGAAGGCGGCAUCCUGGACCGGCAUUGACGCUGAGGCGCGAAAGCCAGGGGAGCAAACGGG
rnacentral:rRNA from 1 species